GAUGAAGAACGCAGCGAAAUGCGAUACGUAAUGUGAAUUGCAGAAUUCAGUGAAUCAUCGAAUCUUUGAACGCACCUUGCGCCCUUUGGCCAUUCCGAAGGGCAUGCCUGUUUGAGUAUCAUGAACACCUCAACUCUUUAUGGUUUUCCAUGAUGAGCUUGGACUCUGGGGGUUUUGCUGGCUCACAGUCGGCUCCUCUAAAAUGAAUCAGCUUACCAGUGUUUGGUGGGUAUCAUGGGUGUGAUAACUAUCUACGCUUGUGGUUUUUCCACCAGGUAACCUUCAGCAGUGGAGGUUCGCUGGAGCUCAUAGAUGUCUCUCCUCAGUGAGGACAGCCCUUUGAAUGUUUGAUCUCAAAUCAGGUAGGACUACCCGCUGAACUUAAGCAUAUCAAUAAGCGGAGGA
rnacentral:misc_RNA from 1 species